rnacentral:rRNA from 1 species
UACAGAGGUCUCAAGCGUUGUUCGGAUUCAUUGGGCGUAAAGGGUGCGUAGGUGGCGCGCUAAGUCAGGUGUGAAAUUUCGGAGCUUAACUCCGAAACUGCAUUUGAUACUGGCGUGCUUGAGGACUGGAGAGGAGACUGGAAUUCAUGGUGUAGCAGUGAAAUGCGUAGAGAUCAUGAGGAAGACCAGUGGCGAAGGCGGGUCUCUGGACAGUUCCUGACACUGAAGCACGAAGGCCAGGGGAGCAAACGGG